GUUAUUUUAAAGCAAUUCAAAUGAGGUACAGCCCAUUUGAUCAAGGACUCAACCUUUACUAACGGGUAAUACUCACCGCAUCCCUCCCCCAAGUUGGCCUAAUAGCAGCCAUCUUUUAAAAAGCGUCAAAGCUUAAUCUGCCCGCACCAUAAUUCAUAAACCCCCAUUGACCCCUUUCACAGUACUGAGGACCCCUAUAAACCUAUAGAGCCUUUAAUGCUAAAACUAGUAACAAGAGAUUCACCUCUCUUUAGUGUAAACCCAACCCAGCAAGAACCAAUCACUGGGGCCUAACAGAACUAAACAAAUGUAGUAACUUCACUAGAAAAACCUUCUCUACCCCCUGUUAACCUAACACCAGAACACUUCAAGAAAGAUUAAAAUAAAAAGAAGGAAUUCGGCAAAUAUUUAACCCCGCCUGUUUACCAAAAACAUCGCCCCCUGAUCUUAUAGGGGGUCCAGCCUGCCCAGUGACCCUGUUCAACGGCCGCGGUAUCCUAACCGUGCAAAGGUAGCGUAAUCACUUGUCCCCUAAAUAGAGACUAGUAUGAAAGGCAUCACGAGGGUUAGACUGUCUCCUCUCUCCAAUCAGUGAACCUAAUCUCCCCGUGAAGAAGCGGGGAUUU
rnacentral:rRNA from 1 species